GGUUAUGAGGGUGAGCUGGUCGGGGAUAUCUGUGGCCUCGUUGAUCGCCAGAGUUGAACUGGCUGAUUUGGCUGGCCAGGCUUGUGUCCCUUCCUCCUUCACCACCCGAGUGCCUCCCCGCAGAAGCUGCAUGCUCUGUGAAAGAGGACCUUCCAGGGGGAGAAGAGGACGAUUCUUUGGUCAAAGACUAGCUGCACUCCCCUGCUACACCCUCCAAACUCUCAAGGUCCAUUUGCAGAACACAGGGUAGUCAAGCUUCUAAGACUCCAGACACAUCCAAAUGAAGUGCUGCAUGUGGCAGUCUGCCCUUAUGU
rnacentral:snRNA from 1 species